UAUUCUCAACCUUCAUAACUUUUUGUUAUCGAAGGCUUGGAUUUGGAGGCUUGUGCUGGCUUUUGCGAGUCGGCUCCUCUGAAAUGCAUUAGCGUGAGUGUAACGGAUCGCUUCGGUGUGAUAAUUAUCUGCGCCGUGGUCGUGAAGUGACAUAAGCUUGCGCUUCUAGCCGUCCUUCAGUUGGACAAUAUCUUUGAC
rnacentral:misc_RNA from 1 species